rnacentral:lncRNA from 1 species
CUCGGGCCAGCUCCGGGAGGAAGCUGAGCGAGGAGCCCAGAACCGCACCGUCUGGAGGCCGCGCGAAAAAUCUCCCUCUUGCUGCACUCCUCCCUCGCCGGAACAAGUUUAAAGAAGAAAGCAGAGAGGCGAGAAACUGCUCGGUUUUCGGAAAGGUUUGGAGACCCCAGCUGACUUGAACAACUCACCGGCCUCUGGAAUGUUACCUGCCUUCUUGAUUGAGCGCCAACAGUUUCUUUUAGGUCGCGUGUCCCUCCCUCUUCUCUUCUUCCCCUUCCCCUCCCCCUCCUUAACGGCAAAAAAAAAAAAAAAAA